GUUGUGUUGGGCAGUCUGGAAGACCAGCGGGUGGAUGCCCUGGUGGUCCCUAUGAUGAAGACCCAACUGCACUCCACCAUGAUAGGCAAAUGUUUGGAAAAGCAUUUUAACAAUGUCAGCACAAGUUUUGAAAUAGCUGCACAGCAACGGUUUUGUACCCCAGGGGAGGUUCUGGGAGUCAAGUUGACUUAAUUCCUUGUUAGCUGCAAGGUCUUCUUUGUAGAGUGCCUGCCCUGGGAUGCAGCUGAGGGUCAAAGUGAGAAGGUAAGUUACAUUUUGAGUCAAGCAAAUGGAACACUGGACACACUCACUCACUGUUUUGUAUAUUUAGAAGGGUGACCCCUAUUUAACCCAUGCAUAAUGCAAAUGCUGUCACCCAUACACGCACUGCGUACUGGACUGGCCCGGGUUUUGGACAUGUGCAGGCAGCAAGGCCUGAGAUCUGUGGCUUUGCCUAUGAUUGGACCUGGGAUAGCUCUGAAGUUCCCUUUAUGCGAGGCAGUACGUAUUCUGACAGAAGAAAUUAUCAAGUUUGGGUUGUCCGGAUCCACUGGGUCCAUUUUAACAAUCCGCAUCGUGGUCAAGCCUGAGUACCCUGACUCUGAUGAGAGCUUUCAGAAUAUCCACAGGAUCCUACGCUCCAAAAUGGUGAACAGGAGAGGAAAAG